ACAAAAGAAAAAGAGCUAGUCCAACUAUUUUCUGUGUUUUGUUGUUAGUUUCUAUGCUUCUGUUUUUCUUGUCUUUCUCGAAACAAGCCAAUUAACACAAAACCCACGGAGGUAUUUGUCUCAUGUGCUUCUUUGACUAAUAGAA
rnacentral:ribozyme from 15 species